GUUGCCUCGGCGGGGUCACGCCCCGGGUGCGUCGCAGCCCCGGAACCAGGCGCCCGCCGGAGGGACCAACCAAACUCUUUCUGUAGUCCCCUCGCGGACGUUAUUUCUUACAGCUCUGAGCAAAAAUUCAAAAUGAAUCAAAACUUUCAACAACGGAUCUCUUGGUUCUGGCAUCGAUGAAGAACGCAGCGAAAUGCGAUAAGUAAUGUGAAUUGCAGAAUUCAGUGAAUCAUCGAAUCUUUGAACGCACAUUGCGCCCGCCAGUAUUCUGGCGGGCAUGCCUGUCCGAGCGUCAUUUCAACCCUCGAACCCCUCCGGGGGGUCGGCGUUGGGGAUCGGGAACCCCUAAGACGGGAUCCCGGCCCCGAAAUACAGUGGCGGUCUCGCCGCACCCUCUCAUGCGCAGUAGUUUGCACAACUCGCACCGGGAGCGCGGCGCGUCCACGUCCGUAAAACACCCAACUUCUGAAAUGUUGACCUCGGAUCAGGUAGGAAUACCCGCUGAACUUACGCAUAUCAA
rnacentral:rRNA from 1 species